GGAGGUAUAUCUCAGUGCUAGAGUGCAUGCUCAGCAUGCAUGAGGUCAUGGGUUCAAUCUCUAGUACCUCCA
rnacentral:tRNA from 1 species